GGAGAAGCAGGAGAGACCUCGUGAGUACCAGCAUACUGGAGUGAAGCAGCCGCAAGCCAAGGAACGCCUGGAGCCACCAGAAGCAGGAAGAGGCAGGGGAAGGUUCUCCCUCAGAGCCUUUGGAGGGAGCACACCCUACUGAAACCCAGAGUUUAGAUUUCUGGCCUCCAGAACUGUGAGAAUAUCAAUUUCUGUCAUUUAAAGUCAGCAGGUUUGUGGUAAUUUGUUGCAGUAAGCCCAGGAAACAGAUGCACCCCUUCCCCUUUCCCCUUUCUAGCUCCUCAUCUUUUCCUUAGGAGGAGCAAACCUGUCCCAUGCAGGGUGGUUUUCCAUUUUCUGUGUUUAUAGGGUCUUACCCUCUAUUUGUGUUUCCCCCGUCAUGGUCCAUUUGGGCUGCUAUAACAAACUACCAUAGACAGGGUGGCUCUUAAACGUCAGAAAUGUAUUUCUCACAGCUCUGGAGGCUGGCAGGCCAAGAUGAAAGCACUGGCAGAUUCGGUGUCUGGUGAGGGCUGCUUCCUGGCUCACAGAUGGCAUCCUCUCCUGCGUCCUCACAUGGCAGGAAAAUGCCCUCUAUGAGAAGAAUUCUGAUGCCAACACCAAUCCAUUUCUGAAAUCUACUUCGAUUCAUCUCUUGGGUUAGUACAUCCCUCAGCUUCUCAGACAGGAGAGGUGAUUGGGUUCAUCCCUUUCUGAAGAAUCUCCAAAGCACAGCCAAAGCUGGGAAGGAAGACCCAUAUGAAUACAGGCGGAUGCCCUAUUUCUUCUGAGGAAAACCAUGAAGAACAGCUCCAACAGAGGAGCCUGGACUACAACCCUGGGCAGGCAGCUCCACCCACCCGUCCACAGGUAGCCUCGGUUGGGCUCCACUAUCCCUGCUCCAGUACCCACUCCCAGCACUUAAGAAUGUCUCCUGUCUGGCUCCAGCAUGAAGGUAACAGAGAAGGAAGAUCUGGAUUUCCGGCAGAUUAAGUGGAGGAGAGAAGAGAGGGACCGAGGAAGAAAAAAAAGGCCGUGGACAAAUGAAAACUGUCUUGUGAACAUAAAGUGAUUGACAUAGAUCACAUCACCUGGAUUAUGAUGAUUUAAAAGGCAGUUCACACACAGAAAUCCCAGAAAGGUUUAGAGCAAAAUAAUGACUUUCAGAGAAGACUGUGAAUUUGGAUCUCUACAUUCCAGUACACUUAUGGGGGAAAAGAAAGUGCUUUUAACUUACAAGUAUUCUGAAUAGUCACUCUUUCGGAGUCUUUUUUUUUUUAAUUGGAAAGUAACAUUUUUCCAUUAGAGGAUUCAAUUCUACUACUGCUGCAAAAGAAUUAUUUCUGGAGUCAGAAUCAAAUCAACCUUUAUAAUCAGUCUAAUGAGUCAGACCCACUGAUAUAUAUUAGUGGACCUGGCUUCUGUUCUAGGUCAGGAACUGAGAGCUCCUGACACUUUGUAAUAGUGUAAUAGGGGAUAAAAUGUCAGAAAUUUCAGUGAAAAUGGAGGUUAAGUUGUGCAUUUUAAAAGCAAUUUUUAGGUAUAAGGUAGUAAGUAGCUAGUACUUAUGUGCCAGCAGUUCAGAAAGCAAAACCCAAUGGCCAAUUAUUCUUUGCUUUGUACAUUUGGGGACUAUAAGCAGACGGACACUAAGGAGCACACAUCCCUGGAUUUAUUUCUCAAAACAUAUCGCACAUUCCUAAUUUUCCUCACAGAUCUUUUUAAAGAUUACUCUCAGAAUGUGCCCAAAGAGUCCCUGAACAAAUGCUAUUCAUUUUGGUAAAUAUAACAAAAAUCAUUAGAAGAUAUCAGCAUUUUAAAUAGCGAUUAUAAUCCGGUGGUUGACUUCUGUAUUGCCCUGUUCGGUAUCUAUAUGUUUUGUAAAGGCUUACAUUGACUUGUUUACAGAUAUACCAUUUGCAUUUAGCUAAUUGUGACGUCUGUGGUCAUUUUCUAUAAAGAGGUUGGUCUUUAAGCUGUUGGUAAUGAAUGUGGCUUAGUUUCUACUGGAAAAUCUGAUUCAGCUUACAUCAUUUUGACUUAUAGCACCUUUGCCAGGAAUGAAAUCUAAGAGUGCAAGACUGCCUUGUUUUUCCCCAGGUCUGCAGAGGCCUGUUGCUUUUAAUGGGUUGUGUGUAGGACACAAGGAUGUGACUCAUCUAUCCACUUAAGAGUCAUAAAACAGUAAUGCAGACAGCUCAGCGUCAGUCAUAACGUUCAUUGUAUGCACCAUACUGAAUGGGCAUUACCAUUUAGUUUUUGUUAUUUUACAGGAAAGUGGGCAUUGGUACCCAGUGGACAAACAAAAUAUUUAUUAAGCUUAUUGUCAUCAAUGUCAUUAAUAUAACUGUUUUCAGUGAGCGUAGAACAAGUGUGUGGAGCUAUUUGUUGUCAACUGAACAUCCCUGCCACCCCUUCUAAUGUCUCCCUGCUCCAUGGAAGAGAAAUCAGGACUGUAGUUGUAAUUUGCAGAAUUCUCUUCUCUGUGAGGUUCAGGAGAGACCAUCCAGGAAGACGCACUUGUAUGAGGAAGGAGGAAGGCAAGGCCAGUAUUCUCCAGUGGCAGUUGUAGGCACACGCAUGGAGAGAUGUAAGGUUCAAAGCAGCUUUCAGAUGAACUUUUGGAGAAUUGCCUUUUGUGCUACGAGAGGGGAUAGAUGUCUAGAGCAUCUCUCGACUCACAAGUUUUGCAGUUUUCCAGGUGAGCUCCUGGGAAUCGUGUGCUUCAGUGCUCCAAGCAGAGUGUUAACAAUGGCCUCCUUGACCUUUGCUUCCCUAACAGUUGCAGAAGCUUCACUUUCUUGUCUAAAACUAUUAAUAUUUGGAAGACACAGAGUGGCUUCUAUUUUCCUGAUAAAAACGUGGCUGAUAUAAGAAGUAAUUAUUUAAAAAUUAAUAAAAAAUUAGAAAAGGUAGAAUGCAUAAAUCAUAGAUUAAAAUAAACUGCCAGUGGGCUAUGGUUACUAUAAAAAUAAGAUGGUCAAAGGCUGAUCAAAUGGAAGAAUGAAUAAAUAAAAGUCAUUCAAAUAAUCAAUCAAUUAUAGAACAAUCAAUUAAAUAUAUUAAAUAUUAAGUUUAUGUAAUUAUAAUUUAUCUAUUAUGUACAUAUUA
rnacentral:lncRNA from 1 species